GGAAGCAUUGAGCAAUUGGUUGGCUCACCAGACUGAAAUGCGUUUUUACGCAUUCAGCGAAUCCUAUUUAAUAAAAUAGAAAUCGUUGAGCUAAAAUCUCGUUUCUGGCAGAACAUGUAGGUUCGAGUCCUACUGCUUCCA
rnacentral:tRNA from 1 species